rnacentral:misc_RNA from 2 species
AACGCACCUUGCACCUUUUGGUAUUCCGAAAGGUAUGCCUGUUUGAGUGUCUUGAAACCUCACACUCUAGAGUUUUCUCUAGAGACGUGGAUUUGGGUGUUGCAAUUUGCUCACCUUGAAUGACUUAGUGGUUCCUACCGUAGCCUGAUGUAAUAAGUUUCAUCUGGUCAAGGGAAGACUGCUUCUAAUCGCCUUACGGCACUAUUUAAGACUAGACCUCAAAUCAGGUAGGACUACCCGCUGAACUUAA